CAGAGGAGAGACCUUGUCUGUGAGUGGGGAUUUCAAAGGCAGAGGCAGAGACAGAGGCCACUUACGUGGAAAGAAUUUCAGAGGGAAGGUCAGUGAUGUAAGAAGGGAUCUUCCGCCCGGUUAGGAACUGUGCCACUUCGUUGCUGAAGGUGUUACAGUUGUUCUCAAAGAUGUUGUAGGCUUCACUUCUGUACAUUGUGAGAAAGGUUUGGGACACAGAUAUGAGUCAGUAAGCGUGUACAUGAAACAGAGAUCAGGCAAUGGGAGGGUGACCACAGCUGAAUCUGAGGACAGGGAAUUCCUUUCCUGCACUCCCAAGCAGAGCUUGGUUUGCCACUCUGGGUAUUUAAAGGGAAGAAUGAAAUAAAAACAUAUGGCUCCUCCAUUUCAGGAGAAUCUUUGCAUUCACAAAAGCCGAGCUCCGGGGUUAGAAUUUUAACAGUUGAAACUGACUCAAGCUUCAGUAAGAGAAAACCUGCUCCAGUGUAUUUCAUCCCAACCUCUCUACAAACCCUGUUUCUGAUUUUCAGGACAAAAUACUUGGUUGAGAGCAGCAUGUGCUGAAAUAGCAGCAGCUGCUUUUAAUCAGAAGGAAUAAAUAGCUCUUCCUUCCCUCAAAGUUUCAGCAGUAGGUGUGCUGGGAUGGAACAGCGGCCUUGGAGGCAGUGCUGAGCUCUUUUUGUGGCACGGUAGCUCCUUUCCCAUCCUAAGUAGUUCAGCAAAUACUGGGCCAGACCUUGGGCUGAGUGCUCUGGGGGAAAUGACCUGGUGGCUGCCAUCUGGGGGCCAAUUAUCUAGUUGGGGAGACAGACACGACUACCGUCUCCCCUGUUCUCCACUCACCGGAACAGAGACUCCCCUAGGGAGGACAGGUACUCCAGAAAGAUUUCUUCUGUGACUUCUGUGCUCCCAACAUCAACCACAGAAUCUGGGGGCCCAAGCAAAGUCCUUCCCUACAAGAGCCAACAGAAAGAAAGCCAGUAAGUCACUCCCUCUGCUGAAUUUUUUCCCCUGCCAUGGAAGACCACAAAUGCUUUGCUCCAACAACUUCUAACUUUCAGAACACCUGGGGCAGAGGAAGACUUAUUUCCUCUUUGUGUCAAGGCUACAACAGCUUAGAGGCUCCUGGAGACUGUCCGUGGCCGUGGGCUGACAACAUGGCUGAGAAGUCGGGUGUCCGGUUUCUGGUGAGGCCCUGGGAAGCUGAGUCUUCUGCAGGUCGGCCUCCUGAUACUGUCCACUCCUUCAAUGGACAGACACAGAAACCCAGAACCUGCAGUCUCCCUUUGUUCCAGCAGGCCUAGUCACGAGGGCCGAGCAGGAUGGCCAGAAACGGCUCACACCUGGCGGCCAUCGUUCCAUGCCCGUAUUCAUCAUGGAUGCAGCCAGCUUUUCAUAUGACACACUUGAUCCCCCUGUAACACUGGGAAAACGUGAAGAACUGUGAAAAAGCUGGCAGAUAUUUCCACGAUUCAGUUCCUUUUUGAUCUGUGAGGCUAAUUUAACAAGGUGAUAGGGUUCCCCUGGCAAGGGAGUUACUGGCCCCUGAAAGGCCUACCAAAACCCCUCAGCCACGGGUUAACAGACUGGCGUAGCAGAUGCAAGGAGAGACUGAGGCCCUGGGGGAACCAGCUGAGGGGAAAGCAAUAGGAUCAGUGGGGAGGAGAGGGCUGGGAAUGGACUGGGGAGUGAGGGAGUGCACUUCAGAGCAGUGCUCCUUGAAAAGAUCACAAAUUCAUGCAAUAGCUCUUGAGCACCCACUGUGUGCCUGACAAGAUUCGAGGGGAAAGUGUGGUGAGCAGAUUACUGUAGUCAGAGAUGCAAGAGACCAAAAGGUCACUAUUUGACCCACUACUCUUCACUCGUAUAACAAAUAUGUUAUUGAGAACCUACUACAUGCCAGGCCUCAUGCAAAGCACUGGAGGUAUGUGGACAAAACAGAUGAGAUUCUUGUCCACGUGGAGCUUACAGUCUAGCAAUAAAGGCAAACCAAUGUAUAAUUAUGAGCUGUGAUAAGGGUCUUGUUGGAAAAAGUACAGAAUGCCAUUAGUACAUAAAACAGGGGACCUUCCCAGUCCAAAAGGUCAGAGAAGACUUGUCUAAGAAAGUGAUAGUGAGCUCACCUUAAGGAUGGAGAGAGUUAACCCAGUGAAGGAUCAGGGACUGAUGUCAGAGGACAGGUUUAAAUGUCCAAGAUGUUCAAGGAAUGAGAAGGGGUGGUAAGGGUGGGGAAGGGCACAACCUGCAAAGGGGCUAUCUAGAGAGAGGGAGCAAGCCCAGAUCGGAUGGGGCCUUGGAGGCUAUGCUGAGCUUUCUGGUUUUUAUUCUGAGAGCAGUGGGGAGAGUUCUGAUUUAAGCAGGGGAAUGCUAUGAUCAGAGUUGGGGUGUGAAAAGAUUGCUUCGCCAUCUGUACAGAGAACCGACUGAGAAGGAAGAGCGGAUGCACUGCUAUGGUCCAGGCUAGAAAUGAGGGUGACUGGAUUAAGGUGAAAACUCCGGAGAAGUGAGAAGAGAUGAAGAGGGACAGACUGCUUUGAGAUACACUUACAAGGUGGAACUGAAUUGGGCUUAAUGAAGGACUUGGUUAUAGGAGGUGGGGGACCAGUAGAAGGGAGAAAUAAAACAUGACAUCCCAUUUAUGAGUAUCAAAAUGAAUGUUUUUUUGGUCUUUGCUUGAGUACCUCCUGGGACAACACUUAGAUAGCUCAGACAGACAUUUUCUGGGAAAGGACAUGGGAUUUGGAGUCAGAGAAGCCUGAGUUUUAGUACUAGUGCUGCAACCGGCUACGUAACUUUGGGCACCUCCCUCUCUCUGUCAGAGCCCUCAUCAGCUUCACAUUGACUGAGUUCACAUCAGGAAAGAGGCACUGAGCUGGCCAUGGUGACAGAAGAGCGAGACAGUCUCAAGCUUACAAGGAGCACACACCGGGCUCCCUGUGGAGACUCAGCAACAGCCCGUUUCACCAUCACAUGCCCAAUGUGACAGAGGAACCACGAACGCCAUGGGAGCAGACAGGGGGCAGCUGCCUGGCGGACCUGUGAAGGGUAUUCUGGAACUGAGUCUUGAGGUCAUCAUGAAGAACUAGGCCACAGGGCUACCUACACUGGCUGGAUGCCAGAACUACGGAGGACAGCAAGGUUCCUGGACUAUGGGAACUCCCGGGAACCUGGGACCGUGGACGGGGUGGGGGCAGACACUCACUGGCGGACAGCUGGAGAUGCCACCACUGCCGAAGAAGAACUCAUCCUUGUGCACGACUAUGGAGGUGUGCCUGCGACACAGAGAAGAGGGAGAAUGAGCCAGAUGGCUUAUGGUCUGAGGAAAAGCAAACACCACCCUGCUGUAAGAGUGACUUCUGCCUCAGGACAUGACUUACAAGGUCAACAGCUUUAUAAUCCUAACCAAACAAAGAGACAAAGUAAAACAAGAGUAUAGAAAAGCUAUUAUCCACUUCUUCAUUGAGCAUGUGUGAGGUGAAAUCCUCUAGAAAACAAGAAUGAACUCUGAAGAUGCCAUCCAUUUGACUAGCCAAUGCACGUGUAUUCUGUACCUCUAUACCUCUAUAUGCCAGAAGUGAUGAGAGAUACGGAAAUGCAAGUACGAAAUGCAAGUCCUGCCUUUAAGGAGCCCAAAGUCAAAUGGAAAAAGAGACAUACGGUAACUGUUUACUGAGUGCUAAGCAAAGAGGAGAAGGGGACAACAGAGAAUGAGAUGGUUGGAUGGCAUCACUGACUCGAUGGACCUGAGUCUGAGUGAACUCCGGGAGUUGGUGAUGGACAGGGAGGCCUGGCGUGCUGUGAUUCAUGGGGUCGCAAAGAGUCGGACAUGACUGAGCGACUGAUCUGAUCUGAAGCAAAGAGUGCUUACUUUUGCCUUCAAUGCUUCGGUGUUUGCCCUGUGACUUUCUAAAGGAUGAAACUAGGCCCUGUACAGAAGGGGAGCUGAUAUGAUUACACUUUUUCCUCUGCCUAACCUGCACUAUCUUGCCCCUUCAAGCAAACUUAAAACAGAUAACCUUAGCCUAAUUUUCUUUUUUUGGAAGAGACAAAAGAAACCAUGGCUCCUCCAUGACAACCUAUUGAUGAUGAAGCAUAGUGUCAUUAAAAGCAGUUAAGAAUAUGGCAUAGGACUUCCCUGCAGUCCAGGAGUUAAGACUCUGCCUUCCAAUGCAGGAAGUACAGGUUGAAUCCCUGGUUAGGGAGCUAAAAUCCCACAUACUUCGUGGCCAAAAAAAAACCAUUAAAAAUGCAAAUAAUAUUGUAACAAAUUAAAGACUUUAAAAACAGUCCAUAUUAAAAAAAAAAAAGAAUAUGGCAUAAGUUCAGAUCUGAGCUUUUCCCUUUGCUAGAGGUGGAUCUUGGGCAAGUUUACUCAACCUGAGCUUCAGUUUCAUCAAUACAAAGUUGUAAUCAGUAAUGAUUAUUGGUGUAAAGCAGCACAGUGUGUGGGACAAAGAAUUCUGAUAAAUGGAGAUACUGGAUAUAAUUUUUUAAAAAGAUCAAAGAAAUUCCACUUCAGGGUUGAUAGGUAAGAUCUAAGAACAGAUUUCAGUAUCCAUCAGAUUAGUCUGAAAUCCUGUAUUACAUGUAAUCAUUUUACACUUUGCUGUUAGUGCUGUGAGGCUAAAUGAAAUAACAAAGGAAAAUAAAAUGUAGCAGAGUUCUUCUGCCUCUAGAGACCAGUCUGCUUUUCACUAGGAGACCGGCUGCUUUGACCACAAGGUCACAAAUGGGACAGAGGGAUUCUGGCCCAGGGUUUUGGGGACUGUGGGGCAGGCUCUGCCUUGAUCCAAACCCAGCUGAAAUUCCAGAGAUGGAUCAGAAACAGAAACGGAUGCCAAAAGGAAGUGAUAACCCAUUUAGGACAGGCACUGAGUUGGAUUCUUCAUCUCUUCCAGCCGACUCUAGGAGACUCUAAAACACCACACUCUUCCUUUUACCGUGUGUAAAGUGGAGAGACUAACGCUGCCU